rnacentral:rRNA from 1 species
AUUGAACGCUGGCGGCAUGCCUUACACAUGCAAGUCGAACGGCAGCACGGGUGCUUGCACCUGGUGGCGAGUGGCGAACGGGUGAGUAAUACAUCGGAACAUGUCCUGUAGUGGGGGAUAGCCCGGCGAAAGCCGGAUUAAUACCGCAUACGAUCUACGGAUGAAAGCGGGGGACCUUCGGGCCUCGCGCUAUAGGGUUGGCCGAUAGCUGAUUAGCUAGUUGGUGGGGUAAAGGCCUACCAAGGCGACGAUCAGUAGCUGGUCUGAGAGGACGACCAGACACACUGGGACUGAGACACGGCCCAGACUCCUACGGGAGGCAGCAGUGGGGAAUUUUGGACAAUGGGCGAAAGCCUGAUCCAGCAAUGCCGCGUGUGUGAAGAAGGCCUUCGGGUUGUAAAGCACUUUUGUCCGGAAAGAAAUCCUUGGCUCUAAUACAGUCGGGGGAUGACGGUACCGGAAGAAUAAGCACCGGCUAACUACGUG